CAUCUUUCCUAGUCAGUGCUUCAAAAAGUCAACAACUUAGCCUUUCUUCGUUGUAUUUUUAAUCGGCGUGUAUUCUAAUGCUGAGUGAAAGAAAACUUAAUAAAAUAUUUAUAUUUUACUAUAUACAUGUAUACAUAUCGUUGUAAGAUGAUAUAAAAAUUCUAUUAAAAGAAAACAUUAUAAAAAUACACGUAAAGUUUAUUAAAUAAAAAGUUAGAAACUAUGUCGGAGGAUUCCAGUUUGUAUAGGUUAGAAGGAUCUGACAAUAAACCUGGUGGCUUAAUUAUUCGAAAAAAAGCAUCCGAUCACACAUUUAAAAAACCUCAAUCUUCUGUUUUGGGCUUGGAUAAACUUGCUGAAAAAAAACGACGAGAAAAUUCGCAAGAACCUACAGAAUCUAAAUUCAAAUUAGAUACAAGAAAAAAAAGGUACAGAUCUUAUGAAGAGGAAACACCUACUCAUACAGGUGGAGUAAAUACCGAGGCACAAAGAAGAUUAGAAACGCGACUGAAACAUCAAAGAUUAAGCGCCCAAGAUAAGCAUUCCAGAUAUCAUGAUCGCGACAGAGACAAUAGAAAGGAUAGAGACCGAGAUAGGGAACGUAGUCGAAGCAGGGAUAGUAUAAAAAGAACUCCACUUAGAUUUAAGGAUGAGCCCCAAACACCCAAGUUUAGGACCAAGGAUCCUACAUCCAAGAGUAAUUGGGAUGACGAUGAGGAUGAAGAACCCAAGAAAUCAAGUUGGGAUCAUCCUACCCCAAAUCUUUACGCUUCUAGAGAUAGUCGUGACAGCGUUAGAAGUGAAUUUACACCCUCGUACAAAUAUAACUCUUGGAACAAAGAUUAUAGACCUUCCGGUACUACGCCAAUGAUAGAUGGUGAAGAAAAAGAACUAUGGGAGGAAGAACAGCAAAGACUUGAUAGAGAAUGGUAUGCAUUGGAUGAUGGGGAAAACUAUGCUUUCGCUGAUGUAUCAGAAGAAUAUACUCAAAAAAAGGAAAUGGAAUUAGAGGCAAAAAGACAAAAGCGAGUUUCAGCUCAACAGAGGCAAAUAAACAAAGAUAAUGAACUAUGGGAAAGAAACAGAAUGUUAACUUCUGGUGUUGUAAGUUCCUUAGAUCAUGAUGAUGAUCCGGAUGAUGAAGCGGAAGGAAGAGUUCAUCUUCUUGUCCAUAACGUAGUACCUCCAUUUUUAGAUGGACGAAUUGUAUUCACCAAGCAGCCAGAGCCUGUUGUACCCGUGCGCGAUCCUACUUCCGAUAUGGCACUUGUGGCAAGAAAAGGUUCUGCAUUGGUACGAGCAUAUCGUGAACAAAAAGAACGUCGUAGAGCACAAAAAAAACACUGGGAAUUGGCUGGAACUCAUAUUGGUAAUAUUAUGGGUGUACGUGACAGAAGAAAAGAUGAUAAAGAAGUUCCUGGUCAAGAAACAGACUUUAAAGCUGGACAGAAAUAUGCAAGACAUAUAGGUGCCAAUGAAAUUACCGGAGAAGCAAAAAAUCGAUCUAUACAACAUCAAAGAAGGAGUCUUCCUGUAUUUGCCGUAAGACAGGAACUUUUGAAUGUUAUCAGAGAAAAUAGUGUAGUCGUAAUAGUAGGAGAAACUGGUAGCGGUAAAACAACUCAAUUAACGCAAUACCUUCACGAAGAUGGCUAUAGUCGCAAUGGAAUAAUUGGAUGUACGUGUCCCAGAAGAGUAGCUGCUAUGUCAGUUGCUAAAAGAGUCUCUGAUGAAAUGGCUACAGCAUUAGGAGAAAAAGUUGGUUACGCAAUUCGUUUCGAAGAUUGUACAUCCAAAGAUACUGUUAUAAAAUACAUGACAGAUGGUAUUUUGUUAAGAGAAAGCUUGCGAGAAGGUGAUUUAGAUAGAUAUAGCGUUAUAAUUAUGGACGAAGCUCAUGAAAGAUCUCUUUCUACUGAUGUCUUGUUUGGUUUACUUCGAGAGGUUGUUGCAAGAAGACAUGAUUUAAAAUUAAUCGUCACUUCCGCGACAAUGGAUUCAAGUAAAUUUUCCGCGUUUUUUGGAAACGCGGCAACAUUUCAGAUUCCUGGUAGAACAUUUCCUGUUGAGAUUUUACAUGCAAAAAAUGCAGUCGAAGAUUACGUAGACGCCGCUGUAAAACAAGUCUUGCAAAUUCAUUUGCAACCAAAAAGUGGAGAUAUUUUGGUGUUCAUGCCUGGUCAAGAAGACAUUGAAGUCACGUGCGAAGCAUUGAAAGAAAGAUUAGCUGAAAUAGAAUCGGCUCCUCCACUUUCAAUUUUACCAAUAUAUUCUCAAUUACCGUCAGAUUUACAAGCGAAAAUUUUUCAACGUUCUGAAGGCGGAUUACGUAAAUGCGUUGUUGCAACCAAUAUAGCUGAAACAUCUUUGACAGUAGAUGGAAUCGUAUUUGUCGUUGAUUCGGGUUACUGUAAAUUGAAAGUGUAUAAUCCACGAAUUGGUAUGGAUGCUCUUCAAGUAUAUCCUGUUUCAAGAGCUAAUGCUGACCAGAGGAGUGGAAGGGCUGGUCGUACCGGACCUGGUUGUUGUUACAGGUUAUACACGCGUAGACAAUAUUUAGAUGAGUUAUUGGCCACAGGAGUACCAGAAAUUCAGCGUACAAAUUUAGCUAACACUGUAUUACUUCUAAAAUCAUUGGGAGUUCAAGACUUACUUGCUUUCCAUUUUAUGGAUCCUCCGCCACAAGAUAAUAUACUUAAUUCUUUAUAUCAAUUAUGGAUAUUAGGUGCUCUCGAUCAUACAGGACGGUUGACACCUUUAGGACGUCAAAUGGCAGAAUUUCCUUUGGAUCCUCCGCAAUGUCAAAUGUUAAUAGUUGCUUCUCAACUUGGUUGCACUGCAGACAUUUUAAUUAUAGUCUCCAUGUUAUCAGUGCCUUCAAUAUUUUAUCGACCAAAAGGUCGAGAAGAAGAUUCUGAUUCGGCAAGAGAAAAAUUUCAAAUUCCAGAAUCAGAUCACUUAACUUACCUCAAUGUAUAUAACCAAUGGAAAGCUAAUGGAUACUCUACGUCGUGGUGUAACGAUCAUUUCAUACAUGCAAAAGCUAUACGUAAAGUCAGAGAAGUGCGUCAACAAUUGGAAGAAAUUUUAAAGCAACAAAAAAUGGAAGUUGUUAGUUGCGGCACUGAUUGGGACAUAGUACGGAAAUGCAUAUGUUCUGCGUAUUUCCAUCAAGCGGCACGAUUGAAGGGUAUAGGCGAAUAUGUUAAUUGUCGUACGGGAAUGCCGUGUCAUCUUCAUCCUACAUCAGCUUUAUUUGGCAUGGGUUUUACGCCGGACUAUGUCGUUUAUCACGAACUAGUUAUGACAGCAAAAGAAUACAUGCAAUGUGUAACUGCAGUAGAUGGACACUGGUUAGCAGAACUAGGUCCAAUGUUCUUUAGUGUUAAAGAAACAGGACGAAGUGGUCGUGCAAAACGAAGACAAGCGAUGCAACAUUUGCACGAAAUGGAAGGUCAAAUGAAAGAAGCAGAAGAGGAGAUGAAAGCAAGAGCACAAGAACAACUAGAACGCGAACAAGCUUCUGUUAAAAAGAAAGAAAUUCUUACACCAGGCAUUAGAGAACCAGGUACGCCUGCACCAUAUCGUAAAACUCCAGGACGUCUUGGAUUAUAAAUAGAUUCUAAUAUGUGAUAUUCACAUAAAUAUUUAAAUAUAAAUAUCAUUUAUUUUGCAUAAUAGGUUAUAGAUGUUUAUACCAAUCAAAUAUAUUAGAAGAAAUAGCAAAAAAUAUGUAAAUAAAUAUGCGUAAAAAAUACAGCAUCUAACGCAAUAACUGUUAAUGUAUUUUGAAAUAUAUUCGUUAUUAUAUAUGCACUAGACACAAAAUGUGUUCAUGCAUAUAUUAGUUAAGCAAAAUAUCUAGGUCAUUCAUUAUGCAAAGCAAUUUUAGAGAUCAAAUAUACAUCUAUUAUCUUUUUAAAAAUUACAUAAUUGUAUAAACAUACAUAACCUACUUAAUAUAUAUGUAAUAUAUAUGUAAGUAUUCUUAUACAAUUUCAUAUACAUAUGUGUUAUCCUAUAAUAUAUAAUUAUAAUUAAAUGCAAAUGCUGUAAAUAUAUGAAAUAUAAAAACUCUUUUAUAUAAUCUGCUAGAUACUUACAAGGAAAAGAAAAUGUUAAUUCUAUCGACAUAAAUACACAUAUUUUUAGUUUAUUAUUUUGGAAUAAUUUUGGUUAGAAAAAGAAAAACACUUUUAUAAUACUACAUUUGUAAAUAAUUUAAAACAUUGAACAAUUUUAUAUAAAUUUUUGGAACAAGUGACUACUUUAGCAUAUGUCGGUUAUAGAUACUUUAUUAAAUUUUUCAUUAUUUUGACUUUUACCCUAUCUAAGAACGGUACCUUAAACUUUGAAUUUGUUUUUAUCGAAAAAAGAAACUAUAAGACCGAUUGUGCUAAAAUUUUUACAUUUUAUUUAACAAACUACAAAUGUAAAAAGAAAAGAUCGAUUUUUUUUAGCCGUAAUAUUAGAAUACCUCUUUCAACGCUAAUAUGCCCCCAAGUACGGUAGGAAACAUCUGCCACAGCAACCAAUGUUUAUGUUUUAGGACAGUACUCUCUAAGACCCUUGAAUGACCAGAAAUAUUAGCAUUCCUCGUAAAAGUAUACUUAUAACAGUGUGAUGAUAUAACGUUAAAACAUAUUUGUUAUUGUUUAUUGUUAAUUCACUAAUUGAUUAUUUUCCAUAAAAUUAGUAAAAGUAAAUUAAAUGCAUAUAUUUCAUUGAAAAAGAUGUUAGAAACACGUUCUGCCGUAUUUAAAUUAAUGAAAACUAACGCUCAUGAAGAACGACAAGUAUGUAAUAUGCUUUAUAUUGUUUAUUUCAAUUUGUAUGCAUAAAAUAUAAUAAUAUAAUUAUCGAUAGAUUCACAAAUGGCCACCCCCAUUUUCUUCAGCGAUAACUCCUUAUUACGAAAGAGAUUUCAACGAUGUCGUUAAACAAGCUUGUGCAGAGAAAUCUUUUAUUCUUCGAAUAUCAAAAUGUAACACUUUGUAGACGGGAGAUUAUGAUCGUGGUUCGGACAAGAACAAACGUCGAAAGCGAGAAACUGUAAUUUCAGUGAUCUGAUAGACAGUAGUACAAAAUAAUAAAUUAAUUAUUCUUGUAAAAAUAACAAUUACUUUAUAUUUUUAGGCAAAUAACUCUAUAUGUGAUUAGUCAAUUAAAUUUUGUCGCUACACAUUUAAAAAUGGAGCUCGCCUACAAAGUGUUAACUUAAGGAGCUAUUCUGCUCAAACAAUGCAAAAAUAAAAUUAUUUCCGUGAAUUUAUUUUUCCAUAAAAA
rnacentral:misc_RNA from 1 species